GUGGGGAAUAUUGGGCAAUGGGCGCAAGCCUGACCCAGCAACGCCGCGUGAAGGAAGAAGGCUUUCGGGUUGUAAACUUCUUUUACCAGGGACGAAACAAAUGACGGUACCUGGUGAAUAAGCCACGGCUAACUACGUGCCAGCAGCCGCGGUAAUACGUAGGUGGCGAGCGUUAUCCGGAUUUAUUGGGUGUAAAGGGCGUGUAGGCGGGACAGCAAGUCAGAUGUGAAAACCAGAGGCUCAACCUCUGGCCUGCAUUUGAAACUGUUGUUCUGGAGUGUCGGAGAGGUAAUCGGAAUUCCGUGUGUAGCGGUGAAAUGCGUAGAUAUACGGAGGAACACCAGUGGCGAAGGCGGAUUACUGGACGAUAACUGACGCUGAGGCGCGAAAGCGUGGGGAGCAAACAGGAUUAGAAACCCCGGUAGUCC
rnacentral:rRNA from 1 species